rnacentral:rRNA from 1 species
CCUACGGGAGGCAGCAGUAAGGAAUCUUGCGCAAUGGGCGAAAGCCUGACGCAGCGACGCCGCGUGGGCGAUGAAGGCCUUCGGGUUGUAAAGCCCUUUUCUGGGGGACGAGGAAGGACGGUACCCCAGGAAUAAGUCACGGCUAACUACGUGCCAGCAGCCGCGGUAAAACGUAGGUGGCAAGCGUUAUCCGGAAUCACUGGGCGUAAAGGGCGUCUAGGCGGACGGGUAAGUCGUGCGUGAAAGCUUCCGGCUCAACCGGGAGAGGUCGUACGAUACUGCCUGUCUUGAGGGUCGGAGGGGGAAGCGGAAUUCCCGGUGUAGAGGUGAAAUUCGUAGAUAUCGGGAGGAACACCGGUGGCGAGGGCGGCUUCCUGGACCGAUACUGACGCUGAGACGCGAAAGCGUGGGGAGCAAACAGGAUUAGAUCCC